AGCCAUCAGCCAGCCGUGCAUCAUGGUCAACGUCUUCCCUGUGUGCUUAGGUAAAGUAUGGGCUCAUCCACUAUGAUGUCAGGAAGUCAAAAACCUAAAUGACAGCUCUGCAACUUACUAGACCAGCUCAUAGAUGUUAACUGGACCAAUAGCUGAACAAUGAUCAUUUCCUGAUACCAAGAACCAUAUACUAUGAACGCCUGAAAAGAAAGUUUAGAAACUACUGUGUUCUAAAAUACUUCUUGUGAUAUAAGUCUCAGCAGAACUCAGGUCAUGAAUGUCCUUGUAAAACUAGGACUUGUCAGUGUCUUUCCAGGUUUGGAAGAACAAAUCAGAAUCAACUACAACCAACAACCACCAAAGAUUUGUAUGAGCAGUACCAGGGUAUUUUACAGUGCUUCUAAAUUGCUGUGUUAUCUUUUUGCUGGUUUCCACAUAUUAGUUUUAGAAUUAAAAGAAACUGAUUUGGAAAGAUCCUACAGGGAACACAAAUAGCAUGUUUUCAUUGACCUUAAAUGUUUUCUCAUACAGUUGUGAAAAUACAAUAUGGUAUUUUCUAUUUUCCCAUAUGUAAUAUUACAAGUAAAAUAUAAGAAUGCAUAAAUCUUCAUUAAGUUUGCUAAAAUAAGAAAAACCCUGCAAUGUUCAAAGUACCCAUUCUUUAAAACAAAACAAAAAUAAAAACAAAAAAAUUAAAGCAUUCAUCCAGUUAAUAAUGAACUGUGAAUCUCACAUUAGACAUGAUAAUUAAUUCACCAAAUUAAGAGAGAAUAUCCUACAAUAGCCAAAAGAA